GACGAACGCUGGCGGCGUGCCUAAUACAUGCAAGUUGAGCGCUGAAGGUUGGUACUUGUACCGACUGGAUGAGCAGCGAACGGGUGAGUAACGCGUGGGGAAUCUGCCUUUGAGCGGGGGACAACAUUUGGAAACGAAUGCUAAUACCGCAUAAAAACUUUAAACACAAGUUUUAAGUUUGAAAGAUGCAAUUGCAUCACUCAAAGAUGAUCCCGCGUUGUAUUAGCUAGUUGGUGAGGUAAAGGCUCACCAAGGCGAUGAUACAUAGCCGACCUGAGAGGGGGAUCGGCCACAUUGGGACUGAGACACGGCCCAAACUCCUACGGGAGGCAGCAGUAGGGAAUCUUCGGCAACGGACGAAAGUCUGACCGAGCAACGCCGCGUGAGUGAAGAAGGUUUUCGGAUCGUAAAACUCUGUUGGUAGAGAAGAACGUUGGUGAGAGUGGAAAGCUCAUCAAGUGACGGUAACUACCCAGAAAGGGACGGCUAACUACGUG
rnacentral:rRNA from 1 species